UACGAAGGGGGCUAGCGUUGUUCGGAAUUACUGGGCGUAAAGCGCACGUAGGCGGGUCGUUAAGUCAGGGGUGAAAUCCCGGAGCUCAACUCCGGAACUGCCUUUGAUACUGGCGAUCUAGAGGUCGAGAGAGGUGAGUGGAAUUCCGAGUGUAGAGGUGAAAUUCGUAGAUAUUCGGAAGAACACCAGUGGCGAAGGCGGCUCACUGGACUGGUAUUGACGCUGAGGUGCGAAAGCGUGGGGAGCAAACAGG
rnacentral:rRNA from 1 species